GGCGGGGCUGCUCCCCCCCGCCGGGGCCCCUGGGUGGACGCUGAAUCAGCAGGGCCGCGGGAAGGAGCCACCGGGGAGGUGUGGGAGGCCAGGACACGGCCUAGAAGCGUAGGCUGGGGCUGCGGACCCGCGAAGUCCAGGCCUGGAGUUAUUCCCUCGCUCUGAGGAUUGCUGUGCGCCCGCCACCGAUUUCCCAACGGCCAGGACAGCGCAGGCGGAAGGCCAGAGACCCAGGACCGGAUUCAGCCCCAGCGUGUCCACCUGAGCGUCAGGGGAGGCAGAGGCGUCUAGACCGCAGCGCCCGCCUGGGCUUUGCGGCUUCCAGCACCUUGUACUGUGUGAUCCCGGGCUCUUGUUUUUGUCUCUGUUAUUCAGUCGCUAAGUUGUGUUUGAUUCUUUGCGACUGGACGGACUGCAGCACGGCAGGCUUCCCUGUCCAUCACCAUCUCCCAGAGUUUGCUCAAACUCAUGUCCAUUGAGUCGAUGACUCCAUCCAACCAUCUCAUCCUCUGUCGCCGCCUCCUUCUACCUUCAAUCUUUCUUAGCAUCAGGGUCUUUUCCAGAUUGACUGGUUUGAUCUCUUUGGUGUCCAAGGAACUCUCAAGAGUUUUCUCCAGCACCACAAUCUGAAAGCAUCAAUUCUUUGGCACUCAGCCUUCUUCAUGGUCCAACUCUCACACCUGAACGUGACUAUUGGAAAAACCAUAGCUUUGACAACAGACUGUUGUUGGUAAAAUGAUGUCUCUGAUUUUUAAUAUGCUGUCUAUGUUUUUCAUAGCUUUUCUUCCAAGGAGCAAGAAUCUCUGAGCCACGGUUAAUAAAUGAGAUAAUAUUCAUGAAAGAUCAGAGUCUUGCCAGGCCCUCAGUUAAGUGUGAAAAUAGUGGAAUCUUCAGGGCAGUCUUUCCUGUGUCACUUUUGUCUCCCCCAAAGGGGUUUGUACAACCCUAACCCUAAUAUCCCCUCCCUUCCAAAGGGAGAAUGUACAACCCUGCCUGCUUCCUUGCCACCUCCUGCAUGCAUGCUAAAUUGCUUUAGUCAUGUCUGACUC
ensembl:lncRNA